CAUUUAAUGCCGUUUAAAUGGAAUCUUAAAUGUUUCGUCUUUGGUUUAAUAUUAGCCCGUACGGUUCACCCGGAAACGAGCGUUCAGACAGACGACACUGAUAUUGACAUCAUGAUUCGUGAACGCAAAUUUUAUGGAAGAAAUGAGAUGCAGCAACUACACAAAUCCUUGGAUGCAGCUAGGACAAUGUAGGAUAUCUUCAAUCUAGGACACUAAAGACAAGAUGGGCUAGUUAUCAAAUUUGACCUCCCCUAUAUCAUGCAGGAAGGUACAUGUACAUGGAUGUUUAAAAAAUUCCACAAAUGGUGAAGAAAAUGGCAAGGGAAGACGCCUGAUAAAUGUUUCAAGUAAAAUUCAGCAAUUGAGUUUCUGGAAAGCCAAGCAUACAUAACCAAAGGAUAUUUUCAUAGAAUGGACUUCUGUAGGCCAAAAAAGUAG